GCAAGUCUGGUGCCAGCAGCCGCGGUAAUUCCAGCUCCAAUAGCGUAUAUUAAAGUUGUUGUGGUUAAAAAGCUCGUAGUUGAACCUUGGGCCUGGUUGGCCGGUCCGCCUCACCGCGUGUACUGGUCCGAUCGGGUCUUUCCUUCUAGGGAACCGCAUGCCCUUCACUGGGUGUGUCGGGGAACUAGGACUUUUACUUUGAAAAAAUUAGAGUGUUCAAAGCAGGCCUAUGCUCGAAUACAUUAGCAUGGAAUAAUAGAAUAGGACGUGUGGUUCUAUUUUGUUGGUUUCUAGGACCGCCGUAAUGAUUAAUAGGGAUAGUCGGGGACAUCAGUAUUCAAUUGUCAGAGGUGAAAUUCUUGGAUUUAUUGAAGACUAACUACUGCGAAAGCAUUUGCCAA
rnacentral:rRNA from 1 species